UCCAUUGGACGUCUAAAGGACGUCCUUGUGUUGCGUGGGUAACUCCACAAGCAAUUGUUAGGAUACGUCACCUAAUGACGAAAAUAAUAGGAGUAGACAUAAUAACCUCUUCUGUUUUACAAUUUUAAGCAAAUUGAUGUGUUUUCCAAUUUUCUCAAAAAUGACUACAAAAUCGAUACCCGAAUGGUUUGCCAAUAAAAACGUUCUCGUCACUGGGGGCACUGGAUUCGUGGGAAAAGUUCUAAUUUCCAAAUUGUUACUAAGUUGCCCCGACAUUGGAGACAUCUUUUUAAUAAUCAGGAA
rnacentral:lncRNA from 13 species